rnacentral:rRNA from 1 species
UACAGAGGGGGCCAGCGUUGUUCGGAAUUACUGGGCGUAAAGGGCUCGUAGGCGGCCAACUAAGUCAGACGUGAAAUCCCUCAGCUUAACUGGGGAACUGCGUCUGAUACUGGAUGGCUUGGAUUUGGGAGAGGGAUGCGGAAUUCCAGGUGUAGCGGUGAAAUGCGUAGAUAUCUGGAGGAACACCGGUGGCGAAGGCGGCAUCCUGGACCAACAUUGACGCUGAGGAGCGAAAGCUAGGGGAGCAAACGGG